GACGAACGCUGGCGGCGUGCUUAACACAUGCAAGUCGAACGGAAAGGCCCUGCUUUUGUGGGGUGCUCGAGUGGCGAACGGGUGAGUAACACGUGAGUAACCUGCCCUUGACUUUGGGAUAACUUCAGGAAACUGGGGCUAAUACCGGAUAGGAGCUCCUGCUGCAUGGUGGGAGUUGGAAAGUUUCGGCGGUUGGGGAUGGACUCGCGGCUUAUCAGCUUGUUGGUGGGGUAGUGGCUUACCAAGGCUUUGACGGGUAGCCGGCCUGAGAGGGUGACCGGCCACAUUGGGACUGAGAUACGGCCCAGACUCCUACGGGAGGCAACAGGGGGGAAUAUUGCACAAUGGGCGGAAGCCUGAUGCAGCAACGCCGCGUGCGGGAUGACGGCCUUCGGGUUGUAAACCGCUUUCGCCUGUGACGAAGCGUGAGUGACGGUAAUGGGUAAAGAAGCACCGGCUAACUACGUG
rnacentral:rRNA from 1 species